rnacentral:lncRNA from 1 species
UGGAAUCUGAUGCUAUCUUCAGGUUGAUAGUGUUAGAAUCAAGCUGGAGAACACCCAGCUGGUAACUGCUGCAGAAUUGAUUGCUUACUCAGUUUCUGGGGAAAAACUCCCACACAUUUGGUCAACAAAGUCUUCUCUAUUUAUCGUCAUUGUGGGUGAGAACAGAGAAAAAAAAAAACAUGGCUUGAUUUUGUAUUUCCUCUACUAACGGAAGAAAAGGGAACACUUAUACACUGUUGGUGGGAUUGUAAACUAGUAUAGACAUUACAGAGAACAGUAUGGAGGUCCCUCAAAAAAUUAAAAAUAUGUCUACCAUAUGAUUCUGCAAUCUCACAACUGGGUAUGUAUCCAAAGGAAAUAAAAUCAGUAUGUUGAAGAGUUAUCUGCACUUCCGUGUUCAUUGCAGCACUACUUACAAUAGCUAAGAUGUGGGAUCAACGUAAGCAUCCACAACAGAUGAAUAGAUAAAGAAAAUGUGGUACAUAUACACAGAGGUAUACUACUCACCCAUAAAAAGGAAUGAAAUACUGUCAUGUACAAUAAUAUUGAUGAAGCUGGAGGGGAAUCUUGAUAAGUGAAAUAAGCCAGACACGGUGAAACAAAUACCAC